AAAUUUUCAAUCAUUAAGUCUGCAAUAUAAUGUCCUGUAUUACUCACAACUGUUUUCUACCGAUAUGGCGAUUGUGUAGCUCUAGAACAACUCCCCAUUCUUAAAUUAUUAAUUCUUAUAUCACCAUUAAAAUAUUCUUCCAGUGCUUCUAUACCCCACAGUUUUAGAACAUCGAACAUUUUUUCCGUCUAAGAAUUUCAUAAAUAUUUAAACAAACUACCAGCUUAUCGAAGAGAGGAUACGAAAAGGAAAUUAUAAAUUUUGUUAUUUGUAACGUUUAACAAGUUGAUGGCUGAUGAUGCUACGUUAGCGUCGUACGCGAAUGGUUUUCGAACGACACCGGAAAUGUUCAAAAGAAAAUACCAAAGAUCAGUCACAAUGGAAGAUCACAUUACUUCGAUGUUACGGUACCCUUUGCUAUAGAACGAUUUAUUGAUCAAACUUCCUGCAAUAUGCGUCCAAUUUUUAAUAGUUCUUGUUGUAAGGAUGAGGUCUAUCUGUGAUUCGCAAAAAACUUCCGAAUAAAAUCGCAGAUACACAAGCAAAGGUCGACAGAAUUUUUCGGUAAAUCUAGUAUCAAAAAAGUAACGUUUCCGCAGGAUGUUUUCCGUAAUGGUUCCGGCCAUCGAAUAAUACGAUUUCAGCACGUACGCGUCACCUUUUUUUGCUAUAUCUCGAUUUCUUGCGUUUGUUUCGUUUCAUUCAAACCGUGGAUUUAACGAGUUCCUGUCACGCCACGAGCCAAUGUUUUUCUCACGCUCAAAACCCAAUCGACGUAUUAAUUAAUCCAGAAAUAAAUUCUUUCGCGCUGUUAAGUAAAAUUAAAAAUACUCGUAACUCGUGCACAAAAGAAGGGAAUUAAGAUAUAAAUUAAGAAGGUGGGCGGGCGACGAGAUACGUUAUUAAUUUUGUCGCGUUACAAUCAUCCUUAGGAGAGAGAGGGAUGAAACGACACGCAGGCGCCUUAUCGUUUCACGCGGGUACUCCUUUACGCUCGCCCUUCGCCAAUUAUCACGAAGAGUCGGGGCUACGUUUAGCGAGACAACGACGUUAGACUGAAACAAUUAGGUAUAACCGCAUUAGCAUUACUUGUACGUAAACUUUCCGUCGCGUCUUCCAACAAGAAUGAUGCAGUACCGAGAUAAAAGGCACGGAAACUACGUCUUCGAGCUGAGAGUGGGUCAUUAUGAAAGAAUUCAAUGUUUUCGUACCAUUUGUGAUCGUUUCGUUGGAUGGCCUAGUCCAAUAAGUGAUCGCUGUUGGAUAAGCCUCACUGUGACAUUCCAGGACGAGAGUUUGGCCCUCAUAAGCGCCCACUAACUGGUUUUCAAUCCACACCAUUGGCUGAACUGCAAAGACAAUUUCUGAUAAUAAUUCGUAUAAAAUUUUUCUCGUAUAUUAAAUAUUUUGUUCAGUUACAUUACAUUAGGUCGAUUACAUUAGGGUCGAAAAUGUAAUAAUAGUUUAGAAAUUUAGGAAUAGUAUAGGAAUAUAUUUAAGCAACGAGAUAUUGUGUUGAGAUAUUAGCACUGUAUUUUCAAGAACUGUAGACUUCAUUUCAAUUGAUAUUAAAAGACAUUUUACCAUC